CAAGCAUGCACACUCACACACACACAAACACCUCAGUGCAAACAGUUUAAGACUAAAGUUUCCGAGGAGGAGAGGAGACUAGAGUAAGAGACGAAAGGAGGAGAGGAGAGGAGAGGAAGAGAGGAAAGGAGGCCAGGAGAGGAAGAGAGGAAAGGAGGCCAGGAGAGGAGGAGAGGAAAGGAGGAGAGGAGAGGAGAGGAAGAGAGGAAAGGAGAGGAGAGGAGAGGAAGAGAGGAAAGGAGGCCAGGAGAGGAAGAAAGGAAAGGAGGCCAGGAGAGGAGGAGAGGAAAGGAGGAGAG
ensembl:lncRNA